GGCUAUAUAAAACAGUUGGUUAUGGUUGGUGCUUAGAAUUCGUAAUGCGAAGGUCGUAGGUUCGACUCCAUUAUCGGCACCA
rnacentral:tRNA from 1 species